CAGCAUGGAUGGACCUGGAGAGCAUUAUGCUAAGUGAAAUAAGCCUGGUGGCAAAAGGCAAAUACCAUAUAAUCUCACCUAUAAGUGGAACCUAAUGAACAAAA